rnacentral:rRNA from 1 species
AUUGAACGCUGGCGGCAGGCCUAACACAUGCAAGUCGAGCGGCAGCGGGAAAGUAGCUUGCUACUUUUGCCGGCGAGCGGCGGACGGGUGAGUAAUGCCUGGGGAAUUGCCCAGUCGAGGGGGAUAACAGUUGGAAACGACUGCUAAUACCGCAUACGCCCUACGGGGGAAAGCAGGGGACCUUCGGGCCUUGCGCGAUUGGAUAUGCCCGGGUGGGAUUAGCUAGUUGGUGAGGUAAUGGCUCACCAAGGCGACGAUCCCUAGCUGGUCUGAGAGGAUGAUGGGCCACCCUGGAACUGGGACACGGUCCAGACUCCGACGGGAGGCAGCGGUGGGGAAUAGUGCACAAUGGGGGCAACCCUGAUGCAGCCAUGCCGCGUGUGUGAAGAGGGCCUUCGGGUUGUAAAGCACUUUCAGCGAGGAGGAAAGGUUGAUGCCUAAUACGUAUCAACUGUGACGUUACUCGCAGAAGAAGCACCGGCUAACUCCGUGCCAGCCGCCGCCGUAA